rnacentral:rRNA from 1 species
UACAGAGGUCUCAAGCGUUGUUCGGAUUCAUUGGGCGUAAAGGGCUCGUAGGCGGCCAACUAAGUCGGAUGUGAAAUCCCCAGGCUUAACCUGGGAACUGCAUCCGAUACUGGAUGGCUUGAAUCCGGGAGAGGGAUGCAGAAUUCCUGGUGUAGCGGUGAAAUGCGCAGAUAUCAGGAAGAACACCCGUGGCGAAAGCGGCUCUCUGGAACGGUACUGACGCUGAGACGCGAAAGCGUGGGGAGCGAACAGG